GUACUGCUGAAGAGCCCCAGACUACGACGAAACAGCUGUCCAGUAC
rfam:Trichobilharzia regenti genome assembly, scaffold: TRE_scaffold0054337